UUUUGGUGCGUUUUGGGUCCGGGAACAUGGCGCCGCCGCUGCGCAGCGCUCCGACGGCCCUCGGAAUGGCCAAAAACGGAGCGCGCCGCCUUUGCACAAUAUUGCGACAUGGGGCGGCGGCCACGUGCUCGCCGAACCGCCACCGGCGGCGGAUUCCACCGAAAACGGCGCCUCGUGGCGAUUAGUACGGUGGCGUCGGUUCGCAAAAGUGAGGUUAGGUGACUUACCGAAAACGGGGGUAGGACGGGAUAGUUCAACUCGGGACAUCACAAAAACAGGAAAAAGGGGUUCUGGAAGGUUUUCUUACACACUAGAGUUAGUUCGGGACACUUUUAUCCACUUUUAGCCACAAUCCAGGAACAUGCGGUCGGUCUUUGUUUAAGGGUGGCGGCAACUAGAUCCACUCGGGUGUAUAACGGGUUGCCUAAGUUACAAAUGGCGGCAACUCAACCAUGGGUUAUUGUCUUAUUGUAGCGCCGAAGAACUGGUUUUGUAUUGGGAAGUGGGUUUUUCCUGGCGGGGUUUUGAUCGAAAAGACGUUAUUUUCAAUGUUUUGCUCGUUUUGUUUGGAAUUUUUGAAAAAACAAGUUCGAGGAACCGGAUUUGUAUGCACGCACGCGGCCGGAUUUGUAUGCACGAAACGAGAACGGAAUGUGCGUCAUCGGUUGCGAUAAUUUGUAGUCGAAUUGGAUUCGGCGUAAAAUCGGACGAUAAGUGGUACGAAUUUGACGUAAAGCAGGCGAUUUUAGAACUGCGCCUAUUUUGAUUAUGUAGCAGGAAAAACGUUGAACUUUGCUUGUAGUUACGGCGUAGUGUUUUACUAAUCAACGACGCUUAUCGAAACAGGUAUUAUUUAUUUACAUGGGCUUUUUUAUCAGUAGAUUAUCAAUUGUCCUUCAGGUUUGAAACGUGGUAAUUUUUUUUUUUAGAUAAGACUAAUUUAAAAGUCAGAAAUUAAUAAAUACCAAAAUAACAACAUUCUGCCAAGUUAACCAGCCCAACUUCUCUGAGUGUUUAAAGCAACCACCCAAAAAUUGUAUUGAUAACAACAUUUUAAGUUCACAUUAAAAUAUAAUUACAAAACUUGGAAAAUACGGGUCUGAUGAAGUGUAAUUAUUUAAAAAACAAAUAUAUCGACUACGAAAAAAAUUAAAAAUCAUUAUUCUCAACUGAGUGUUUUAUACGAUAUAUAAACUGUAUAAAUUCUGACAAUAUAAAUUUUUUUGCAAAUGUAAAAAAUCAACUUUAUUAGCUUCACUAGUGAUAAUAAUUCAUUAAUUAUUGCAAUUUUUCUUUAAAAAAAUUCUUUUUUUUGUGACUAACGUCGUUCACGACUGUCUCCAUUUUCUUCAAAAUUUGUGUAUACAGUACUAUUAUUAUUAGUAAACUCAAAUCCAUAAGGUUGUAACCACUCCCUAGUGUAAAUUUUUAAAAAUUAUUCAGUGUGAAUCUGUCUUUUAAUAACCUGGUGACAUAUUUGGUGACCUGUCAAUAUAAUGUCAGUUCAUUCAUGUAUUCGCGACACAUGAUUACGUUCGACUUCACUGCAAUUCUUGCACUCCUGCACAGGUUAUUUCAUAAUUAUCAUUGUAACUUGUCGCAAUAUUGUAAAAACUGAUAAACAAUUUUCAAUAAAAACAGGAUAACCUGAGUCUUCAUGGUAAUUAUAAUACAAGAGCAACGAUAAAUAGAAACGUGUUUUAUCUUUCAUCUGUAGAAAGAAUGCCACCUGCUGUAAUUUAGACUUGCAGUCGAUACGUUUACGAAUUACGAUAAAAUGAACCCAAAAAUAUUGUGGUCACGAAUGAAAUCAAAUAUUGGGCUGGUAAAAAAACAAGAUGGGGAAUAACUGAGAUAUUCAGAAUUUGUUUAAAUUAUUGUACAUGAGUAUACGUGAUAAUUAUGUGUGGCUAACUAUGACUCGAAGGAUCAGCUCUCUCGACUGAAAUGAUCAAUCUCGCGAGCAACACCAAAAUUGUCAAAAUGGGUAGAUCACCUUAAUUAGUUGCAAUGGAUGACCAAUUUUUCAUCAAAAAAAUGGGACACCAACAAGUCUUUAAUGUUAUGUUUAAUAACUCUAAUAUUUGGUACUACUUAUUAUUUACAAAAUGUACAAGGGAUUUGGUUGAAGGCGAUAGGUCUGGCUAUGCUCCUCCGUCCUGACGAUUUUAGUGGUAAUAAUGAACAAAAUGUAACUUCACAAAAUUCAGAGGCUAAAAUAAUAGGUAUGUUGAAAAUAAUUUGACGGCUUAUUUAAACUUACUGUUACAGGAGUGGUUAGAAACAUUGGGAACACAUAGACCAAAUAACCAAAAAGCAAUUAUUUUUCUGUUGUUAACUUUCUUAAAUCUGAAUCCCAUGGAUUUUAAUACUCAACGUAAAGUAUUUAAACUUGCUGUAUAUUCUGGAUGUUCUUUCGCAAAAAUAAACAAAUCCUGAAGAGUAAAAAACUCA